rnacentral:lncRNA from 1 species
UCUCCGAUUCGCCUCAAAUCGUACCAAGACUCUCAAAACAUGUUUUGGAGCAUAUUUAAAUUCUCUUUUCUUUCACGCUAACGUCGGAUUUAGUCAUCGGUCCAACAUAGCCUUUCGGGUUACGUUUUCGCGCCCAACGCGCCCUGAAAACACCAGAAUGCUCCCGAACUUUACCGGAACCUUUUUAAUGGCUUUCCAAACCAAUAUCAACCGAAACUUCAUAACUUUAGAAGUUCAGCACCUUACAGGUGACCUCCUGGAAAGUUGGGGCAUCACAGUUGGUAUCAGAGCCAAUUACCAGCCGAAAGUGUGAGAUGAAUCUCGGCUGAGCUAGGAUUAUACAGCGGGGAGAGCGAGGCUCUUAUGCUGUUGGCUGUUGUGG